AUUGCCGGUGAAAAGUAUUGUUGUUGUUGUUCUUAAAAAACAAUUGAUGCAUUAAAAAAUUUAUAGUUAAGUAAUUAAUAACAAUCAUAAGAAGUUAACAAUGUCUCAACUGACAGACCUUGAAGUGAAACAAGAAACUCAAAAUGUUCUUGAAAAUAUCAAUGAGAUGACUAAAAAAAUCAAAGCUGAAUUUAAGUUAAUUAACCAGCUGAUUGACUCUAACGGGCAGCUGGGAAAAUUAGCUAACGAGGCCAAUCAGAAAUUAAUUAACCAAGCUCAGCAACUUGGAAAAAAAGUUACUCUUGAUGCAGAGGAUUCGGAUGAGGUUGGAGGUAAUCACGAGCUCAGGUCUUCCAUCGAUGCUGUGACUCAAAAAUUGAUGGGAAUUAUGGAAGAUUCGUAAUUACUUUGAAGUUACCUGAAUAACUUUAACUUGAGGAUCGAAACGCGGUGGCCGUCCAAAGUGUAACAUCCAGUUGAGUCUAGCGCCU
rnacentral:lncRNA from 1 species